rnacentral:rRNA from 1 species
GAGUUUGAUCAUGGCUCAGAUUGAACGCUGGCGGCAUGCCUUACACAUGCAAGUCGAACGGCAGCACGGGAGCUUGCUCCUGGUGGCGAGUGACGAACGGGUGAGUAAUGCAUCGGAACGUAUCCUGGAGUGGGGGAUAACGUAGCGAAAGUUACGCUAAUACCGCAUAUUCUGUGAGCAGGAAAGCGGGGGACCUUCGGGCCUCGCGCUCUUGGAGCGGCCGAUGUCGGAUUAGCUAGUUGGUGAGGUAAAGGCUCACCAAGGCGACGAUCCGUAGCAGGUCUGAGAGGAUGAUCUGCCACACUGGAACUGAGACACGGUCCAGACUCCUACGGGAGGCAGCAGUGGGAAUUUUGGACAAUGGGGGCAACCCUGAUCCAGCCAUGCCGCGUGAGUGAAGAAGGCCUCGG